rnacentral:rRNA from 1 species
GAUACUAAGCCAUGCGAGUCAUUGUAGCAAUACAAGGCAUACGGCUCAGUAACGCGUAGUCAACCUAACCUAUGGACGGGAAUAACCUCGGGAAACUGAGAAUAAUGCCCGAUAGAACAUUAUGCCUGGAAUGGCUUAUGUUCCAAAUGAUUUAUCGCCGUAGGAUGGGACUGCGGCCUAUCAGUUUGUUGGUGAGGUAAUGGCCCACCAAGACUAUUACAGGUACGGGCUCUGAGAGGAGUAGCCCGGAGAUGGGUACUGAGACACGGACCCAGGCCCUAUGGGGCGCAGCAGGCGAGAAAACUUUGCAAUGUGCGAAAGCACGACAAGGUUAAUCCGAGUGAUUUGUGCUAAACGAAUCUUUUGUUAGUCCUAGAACCACUAACGAAUAAGGGGUGGGCAAGUUCUGGUGUCAGCCGCCGCGGUAAAACAGCACCUCAAGUGGUCAGGAUGAUUAUUGGGCCUAAAGCAUCCGUAGCCGGCUCUGUAAGUUUUCGGUUAAAUCUGUACGCUUAACGUACAGGCUGCCGGGAAUACUGCAGAGCUAGGGAGUGGGAGAGGUAGACAGUACUCGGUAGGAAGUGGUAAAAUGCUUUGAUCUAUCGAUGACCACCUGUGGCGAAGGCGGUCUACCAGAACACGUCCGACGGUGAGGGAUGAAAGCUGGGGGAGCAAACCGGAUUAGAUACCCGGGUAGUCCCAGCUGUAAACUAUGCAAACUC